rnacentral:lncRNA from 1 species
GGUUUCUGUUUUGGAAUUCUGAAUGACUCAGGACAACAGUAUCCUCAAGGGUUGUUCUAGAGUCCAGGCUCUAAUGUGGGGAGGAGAGACAUCACAACUGAGUUCAGCAUGGUAUGCCGCCCUCCCCACAGGGCAAGGGACCUUUUGAGUCCUGUGAAAAUUCAGAGGGUCUUGGUAGUGGACUCGAGAAUGGCUGAGAAUCUCAGUGGGAGCGUAGGCAAAAGGCUCUGCCUUGUGUUGUCUUUGGUUAAAUUGUCUUUCCCUCCUCUGUGAACUGGGGAUAAUAAUGCCUCUCUUCGGGGCUGUGGUGAAGAUUACACAAUAAUGUUUAUAAAGCUGACUCACAAUUGGUGCCUUGUGGAUGGUCUGUGUUUUUCAUAUCCAUUUUCUAUUUGACUGUAGCAUCUAGCCCAGUGCUGUGAAAUAGCUGAACCAUAUACACAAAGUAACUGACACGUGGUGGAUUUGAAUUAAAAACUGUCCCGUUUUGGGCUAACGGCCUUAUGGAAUGGAACUUUACACCCAGGGCUUGCAUUUGGUCUCAAGAGAUACUUGGCAGCUGUGUUUUAUAAGAAGACAGAGGUGUUAUCCACACACAGGGCGGCCUGCCAUGCUCAGCUGAGGGAGCGCGGAGAGGAUGUGAGUAGAUGUGAGAGUGUCCUUUUGGAUGAGGACGGACAUGCAAAAUCAACUCAAGGGAGGGGAAUGCUGGGUAAUUCAUAAACAUAUCUCACCUGGGCUGGCAUUAAAUUAAAAUUAGUCAAGUUUGUUAGAAAAUAUCAAAUUAAUUGUAAGUACUGGCCCAUCUAGUAGUCAGGCAAGCAUGUAUCCGUGGUUAAAAUAGGAUUUAAACUUUAUUUUACUUUCGUUGCUCUGGCUGGCUUUGGACCCUGGGUCUUCUUGCCUUGGUUUCUCAAGAGCUAGGAUUACAGGCAGGCACCACCCUGGCUAUCAUAAACAUAAUUUAAAAACCUGUCAGAUGACAUAAUCCAUCCGCUCUGGAAAAUGAGACCUCUUUCAUGUUAACUAGCUGAGCCUUCCUCUUCUUUUAGUACAUUGCCUGCCGGCUAGCAGUUAAGUACAGGGGGGUGGCUAACUCUUGCCGUUAAAACUUUGUUUCAAACAAAUUCUCAGGGGUUUGGGUGGGAAAACCCUUUAAGACACCUGGAAGCUCCUGUAUUCCGAGCCUUUGCACAGUUCGAGCUGCAGACCCACCAGUUCUUUGAAUUUCUGUCUAGUUGGACGAUGAGUGGGUACUGUGGGCUCUCCAUCAGUGAUCCCCGAGAGUGGCAUCGGUAGGAUUUUGUCUCUGUGUGUACGUCUCCCACGGGGAUAGCUGGAGUGUCUUGGCGGUGGAGGGUCCAGUGCUUAAAAGAGAGCGAACCACACGCCCUCUUUCCUGGCCUCUGGGCAGGCAGGUUGGCAGCACCCGGUAUCCUGUGGGCUGGACAGCAGCUUGUUUGGGCUUUUCUAUAGUAAUUGAGUAAACCAUCCUUGGCGCCUGUUCGUGUUGACACAUUGUUACACGACAGCAGAGAGUGAUCUCUCCCAUGUAGCAGGUCUCAUCAUAGUUUCCUUCUCUUCAGCCAGUGACUCCAGUUAUCAAGUUUCCUGGGGUAGGGUUUGUGCCUGGUGGCUAAUAUUCUGACUUUAAAUGUCAUGAGGACUCCUGUAUGGCCAGAUCUCCACCUUUCAGAAUUGUUUCAAUGAAUUCUUGAGAAGGGUUUAAUGUUCUCCUCGGGUGUCACAGAAGACCCCCUGAUGUGUGCUCUGCUCUGUUCUCAGACCGGCCUUUUAAAAUCACGCUCUGAGAUUUCUUGUUGUUGUUCUUGUGGCUGCCGCUGUUGUUAAAAGAACCAAUUACAGCAAAGCCAAUCCUGGUGAGAUUCUUCUUAUUAACUGGUCGAUUAUAAGCUGGCUUAAUUUGAAAAAGUUAGAAAAUUUAUUUGUUGGUAUAGCAUUGGAAAUGUAAAUGAGCUAAAUACCUAAUAAAAAAUG